CCUACGGGAGGCAGCAGUGGGGAAUAUUGGGCAAUGGGUGGAACCCUGAUCCAGCGACGCCGCGUGAGUGAAGAAGUUCUUCGGUAUGUAAAGCUCUAUCAUCAGGGAAGAAAGAAAUGCCGGACCCUGACUAAAAAGCCCCGCCUAACCACUGCCCAGCACCCGCGUUAAUCCGUAGGGGGCAAGCGUUAUCCGGAUGUACUGGGUGUAAGGGUGGCGUGGAGGGUUACGCAAGUCUGGAGUGAAUGGCGGGGGCUGAACCCCCGGACUGCUUUGGAAACUGUAUAACUGGAGUGCAGGAGAGGUAAGUGGAAUUCCUAGUGUAGCGGUGAAAUGCGUAGAUAUUAGGAGGAACACCAGUGGCGAAGGCGACUUACUGGACUGUAACUGACGCUGAGGCUCGAAAGCGUGGGGAGCAAACAGGAUUAGAUACCCUAGUAGUC
rnacentral:rRNA from 1 species